CGUCUAAUACCGCAUAAUACAAUUUGGAGACAUCUCCGGGUUGUCAAAGGAGUGAUCCGGCAGAGGAUGGACAUGCGGCGCAUUAGCUAGUCGGCGGGGUAACGGCCCACCGAGGCUACGAUGCGUAGGGGUUCUGAGAGGAAGGUCCCCCACACUGGUACUGAGACACGGACCAGACUCCUACGGGAGGCAGCAGUGAGGAAUAUUGGUCAAUGGGCGGAAGCCUGAACCAGCCAAGUCGCGUGAGGGAAGACGGUCCUAUGGAUUGUAAACCUCUUUUGCAGGGGAGCAAGGCGCGGUACGUGUACCGCGAAGGAGAGUACCCUGAGAAAAAGCAUCGGCUAACUCCGUGCCAGCAGCCGCGGUAAUACGGAGGAUGCGAGCGUUAUCCGGAUUUAUUGGGUUUAAAGGGUGCGCAGGCGGACUGUUAAGUCAGCGGUAAAAUGUCGGUGCUCAACACCGGCCGGCCGUUGAAACUGGCAGCCUUGAGUGAGCGAGAAGUAUGCGGAAUGCGUGGUGUAGCGGUGAAAUGCAUAGAUAUCACGAGGAACUCCGANNGCGAAGGCAGCAUACCGGCGCUCAAACUGUCGGUUCAGGCACGAUAAGCGUGGGUAUCGAACAGGGUUAGAUACCCUGGUGGUCCACGGCAGUAAACGAUGAAUGCUCACUGUCCGGGCCGUUUAAGGCCUGGGUGGUCAAGCGAAAGCGUUAAGCAUUCCACCUGGGGAGUACGCCGGCAACGGUGAAACUCAAAGGAAUUGACGGGGGCCCGCACAAGCGGAGGAACAUGUGGUUUAAUUAAAUGAUACGCGAGGAACCUUACCCGGGCUCAAACGGAAGGGGACAGUAUGAGAAAUCAUACAUUCCUUCGGGACCGCUUCCGAGGUGCUGCAUGGUUGUCGUCAGCUCGUGCCGUGAGGUGUCGGCUUAAGUGCCAUAACGAGCGCAACCCCUAUCGACAGUUGCUAGCAGGUAAAGCUGAGGACUCUGUCGAGACUGCCGGCGCAAGCUGUGAGGAAGGCGGGGAUGACGUCAAAUCAGCACGGCCCUUACGUCCGGGGCGACACACGUGUUACAAUGGAGGGUACAGCGGGAAGCCACCCGGCGACGGGGCGCAGAACCCGAAAACCUGUCUCAGUUCGGAUUGGAGUCUGCAAACGGACUCCAUGAAGCUGGAUUCGCUAGUAAU
rnacentral:rRNA from 1 species